GCCGUGGCUCAGUGGUAAAACACCUGCUUGGCAUGCAGAAAGUCCCAGGUUCAAUCCCUGGCAUAUCCG
rnacentral:tRNA from 1 species